UGGGGCAAGAGGCUAAGAGCAGGGAGUGUAGAGACUUCUUUUUAUUUUAAAACUUUUAGUAUAAAAGAAUUAAAAGGUGAAAGUGCAGACAGGGAGAAAGAGAAAUAUCUGCCCUUUCUCUCUCAACAGCCAGCAGCUUAAUGGUUUGGGCACUCAGCUGGCCUGUAAAAGAUUAACAUGCAGGUCCCUGCUCUGAACCAGCCACCAUGUAAGUGUUAUUCUAGGCAAGGUUGUCUUUUUCCACCUGAAAAGCAUUCAGAAGAGCUUGGUGUCUUUCUGCACUGGAAUAGAAACAAAUGCUGAGCCUUCAGAAUUUGUCAAGAAAUGGACACCUUGUUUUCCAGCCAGGCCUACUUCAGAGGGGAUCUGACAGAGCGACUGGUUUUCCAAAGGUCCAGAUUGACCUCAGUCUAUUUUCCAUCUCCUUGCUGUGUACUUGAGAGGCUGCAUCCUCCAGUGCAGAUGUGGUAAGUACAGUAUGGACAGGAGUGGGGUGCCCACUUGCCCUUUGUAGAAGUCAGUUGAGUUUCUGUUCUGUGACCACACCUUUGCUGUGCAUCUGCUCUGUGGCUCUAUGUAAACGUCCCUGUUCCUGAGACUGUUCUGUAGCUGGCCUGCAUAGAUCCACAGGCCAAGGACACCCAGCAUUCGGCUUCCGCUCCAGGCACAAACACCAGGUUUAGGUCACUGAGUGAAGCCAUAUCUUUGCAACAGAAAGAGAAGCAUUUCCAAAACAUGCUCAACAAUUUAAGGAAGAGUGAGUUUCUGAGCACUGUGACCCCAGUGACAGGAGUGGUUAUUCUUAUAAUUCAGGGAUUGAGGCUAGGAGACUGCUGGGAUUAAACAAGUAACACAGUGUCUGCACUCUCAUUGUGUAGAUGGCUGUGGGCUGUGUGCUUGGGGAGGCGAUACACCGGUGAGGAACAGCCCGGUGCAGAUUUGAUGCAAUUAUAUGAGUCCACAAGCUGUGUGCUGAUCAGCUCUGAAUUCAUGGAUGUUUGGAAACAGUUCUGAGACUUCUGGAUAAAAGGCAAAAUACUGUUCUUACAUUUCAGCAAAGAACAUGGGAAUCUCUGAGAUCAGCAGACCAUUGGUGGGUGCAACAAAGCUCGCUGCAUGGAGCUACAGGCUAAAAUACAAGGUUAUACAGGA